rnacentral:rRNA from 1 species
AGUGAACGCUGGCGGUAGGCCUAACACAUGCAAGUCGAACGGCAGCACAGUAAGAGCUUGCUCUUACGGGUGGCGAGUGGCGGACGGGUGAGGCAUACAUCGGAAUCUACUUUUUCGUGGGGGAUAACGGAGGGAAACUUACGCUAAUACCGCAUACGACCUACGGGUGAAAGCAGGGGAUCUUCGGACCUUGCGCGAUUGAAUGAGCCGGUGUCGGAUUAGCUAGUUGGCGGGGUAAAGGCCCACCAAGGCGACGAUCCGUAGCCGGUCUGAGAGGAUGAUCGGCCACACUGGAACUGAGACACGGUCCAGACUCCUACGGGAGGCAGCAGUAGGGAAUCUUCGGCAAUGGGCGCAAGCCUGACGCAGCCACACCGCGUGGGUGAAGAAGGCCUUCGGGUUGUAAAACCCUUUUAUUAGGGAAGAAAAAAUGUGGGAUUAACCACCCACGUUUUGACGGUACCCAAAGAAAAAGCCACGGCUAACUUCGUG